rnacentral:rRNA from 1 species
CUGGCUCUGGAUGAACGCUAGCGGCAGGCUAACACAUGCAAGUCGAGGGGCAGCGGGAUGUAGCAAUACAUGCCGGCGACCGGCGGAUGGGUGCGUAACGCGUAUGCAACCUACCUUAUACAGGGGAAUAACCUUUCGAAAGGGAGACUAACACCCCAUAGUAUUGAUUUAAGGCAUCUUAGAUUAAUUAAAUAUUUAUAGGUAUAAGAUGGGCAUGCGUAUGAUUAGCUAGUUGGUAAGGUAACGGCUUACCAAGGCGACGAUCAUUAGGGGUUCUGAGAGGAAGGUCCCCCACACUGGUACUGAGACACGGACCAGACUCCUACGGGAGGCAGCAGUGAGGAAUAUUGGUCAAUGGGCGCAAGCCUGAACCAGCCAUGCCGCGUGCAAGGAAGACGGCCUUAUGGGUUGUAAACUGCUUUUACAUAAGACUAACCGUAUAUUUGCGAAUAUACCUGAAUGUAUUAUGAGAAUAAGGAUCGGCUAACUCCGUGCCAGCCGCGGC